GUCAGGCACUGUGGCGUGUGCCUCUAGUCCCAGCUACUUGGGAGGUUGAGGUGGGAGGACUGCUUGAGCCCAGGAGUUCUGGGCUAUAGUGCAAUAUGCUGAUCGGGUGUCCACACUAAGUUCAGCAUCAAUAUGGUGACCUCCCGGGAGCGGGGGAAUACCAGGUUGCCUAAGGACGGGUGAACUGGCCCAGAUCAGAAAUGGAGCAGGUCUCCCGUGCUGAUCAGUAGUGGGAUCGUGGCUGUGAAUAGCCACUGCACUCCAGCCUGGGCAACUCCAGCCUGAGACACCCAUCUCU
ensembl:misc_RNA Metazoa_SRP Metazoan signal recognition particle RNA